UACGUAUUAUUUCGCAAUCAAUUUGAUUUCAGAAAUAAACGAAAGUUAUACCGUCAGUGUAUCUAUAAUGGCGUACAUGGUAAUUCUACCCUUUGCCGAUGGGUUCAGUGCAUGUAGAGAAUAAACUUCGCAACUGAAAUCCUGACAUGAACUCUAUGUUUCAGUACGAGAUCACAAUGGAUGGUAGCAGCCCACCGAGAUCCAGAUGUCCGACGCCGGGCGAUCAAGAAGAAUACGAUGUAACCCGAAUGCGUGAGGAUGACUUUGAACGAUUGGCAGUUUAUAUGGUUCCUGAUGUACCGUGCGAGCGUGGCACGCCAUCGCGGGCGGAUAAAACUUUGCCCAGAAGUUUAACGCUCAAACCGUCACUAGUAUUAUCUACACCAAAUGUAAAGACUGAAGGCGUCUGGAGUACGGGCGUUAUUCCUCGUGGCACCAGAUUCGGGCCAUUCGAAGGUGUAGCUGUGAAAACACCGAAUUGUCCAAGCGAUAAAAUAAAUUGGAGAUAUUUUUGGCGGGUGCAGGGAACAAGACAUAUUACUUAUGGAAACAUAAAGAUUUUCAAAGACAAUGAAUACUAUUACCUUGAUGGUUCUGAUACCACUCAAGCGAAUUGGAUGCGAUACGUUGCAUCCGCAUACAGUCUUCGAGUGAUGAACCUUGUCGCCUGCCAGCAUCAAGAAAAUAUCUAUUUUUAUACAACUAGAGACAUAAUGCCAAAUGAAGAGCUAAUGGUUUGGUAUUGCCGCGAUUUUGCGAAACGUCUUGGCUAUGAUGUUGAUCCGGAACGUGCUACGUACACAAUAUGCAAGGAGGAAGCUAUCAAAAAAUCGUACACUGUAGCACCGACACCGGUUGCACCGGAAGUGGCGUUCACACACAUGAAGUAUGUGAUGGGAUUUGCGUUACCGCGACGAUCUCCGACACCAAGUCCAUCCCCACCGAUUGCUGUUCUUUCGCCAAAUAUUCGACCGACACAUCAAAGUGUUGUGCAUUUUCGUGAGCAGUCGCAAGGGAAUGGCAUGCCGAUGCGAGUAAUUGUUCAGGAUCAAUCGCCACUUCGUGAUGAAUGCAAGGAAAAAGAUUCAACCUCUCCAGUAUUAACGAAAGACGGUCCAUACGAACAUCAAUUGACACCGAACGAUGGAUCGGUUCGAUCGGACGAAGGGUAUCACAGUAAUGAACACUAUGAAGACGGACUGACACCACCGGAAGAUUACAGUGACAGCGAGGACGAAAACAAUUACGUUCUUGACUGUUCGAAAAAGGCGAACAUUCCCAAAGAGACGGUGGUGUCACAGAAAAUCGAAGACAAAAAUGAAUACCGAAAAGUGAAAAUGAAAAUGCCAUUGAAAUACGAGUUUAAAAAUAAAAUAAUUAAACGUGAAUCUGCCGACAAAGAGUCUGUGUCAUCGGAUGAUAACAUUGUAGAAGAGGCGGAAACUCGACGCCGUGCUGCAACGCCAGUCACAAGUACUGUGAUUGUAACGGAAUCAUCAACUUAUACCAUUGUUCCUUUAACCAAACCUUAUUAUGAGGCUGAAACUACGUCCCCUCCAGCGACGUUCCUACGUUACACACCACCUAGUUCAAGCAUUUUAGAAACAAUUUUAACCGGCAAUCGACUCAGUGAAACAAUAAAGCAGAGACAGUCAAAUGCAACACCCCCACCAACAUCACCAACAGAAAUGGCAUAUUCAUAUAAGAAAUCCCAACGAUACGGCAACGCUUGCAGUCCAGACUCUAGUUCGAAUUACGUACCAAACAGCCAAUCUGAACCUACUGGAAUUUCGCCGGCACAAACAAAAAAUGCUGACGAAGAAAUGGAAAAGGAAGCCAUUUCUCAUUCACAAGUAUCUUAUACCACACCAACAGCUACAAUGUCUUCGAUGAGUUACGAAAAUCAAAGAACUCCUCCAUAUUCCACAUAUUUGUUUUCUUCCUCACCUAGCGACAAUGUAUUAACGAAUGUUCCAAGUUCGACCUAUUCUCCACCUCUGAGUAACGGUCACUACGAACGAAUAUCAAACCAUUCGCUAUCGCCACCGAACGGUAUACUUCAACUGCAACAUCAUGCCGGACAAUUACUCGCCCAUCCGAUAAUGACACCACUAACGGCGAUCCCACCUUCACCAACACGUUCGUCGCCACCAUGUUGCUUGAGUCCAGAUAAUGGAUCGUGCACUCGAAGCGGCAGUCCGAUGAGUCCUGGUGGUACGUCGCGUGGAUAUCGAAGUCUACCAUAUCCUUUAAAGAAGAAAGAUGGCAAAAUGCAUUAUGAAUGCAACGUUUGUUGCAAAACGUUCGGACAACUGUCCAAUUUAAAGGUCCAUCUUCGAACACAUUCGGGCGAGAAACCAUUUCAAUGUAACGUAUGCACAAAAUCGUUCACUCAAUUAGCUCAUCUACAGAAACAUCAUCUAGUUCAUACCGGCGAAAAGCCCCAUCAAUGUGAUAUUUGUAAGAAACGUUUCUCAAGCACGUCGAAUCUGAAAACCCAUUUACGACUGCACAGCGGACAGAAACCUUAUGCCUGUGACUUGUGUCCACAAAAAUUCACACAAUUCGUGCACCUGAAACUACACAAGCGACUACACACAAACGAUCGCCCAUACGUCUGUAACGGUUGUGACAAGAAGUAUAUUAGCGCUUCGGGACUACGAACGCACUGGAAGACAACGAGCUGUAAACCGAAUAAUUUGGAAGAGGAGUUGGCAUUGGCGGCUGCUGCAACGUCAGAAAAUUUAUCUGACAAAGACCAUGGCGAAGAAUCGAAAGAAUUCUAUGAAAUGCAUCAAAUGUACAUGCAAUCCCAUUCGCAUCUUCGCAGCAUCGGCAAUUCUCCCACUCGUCUGGUCAGCACAUCCAUGCAAUCGUCAAGUCAUCAUCCCGCCGGCCAGCAACAGCACCACUCAAUCCACCAUCAAUCGCAUCAUCCACAACAAUUGUUAAUAACGCAACACCAGCAACAAUCCCAGCAAUCUUUACCCCCACAACAAAUACAUCGAAAAACACCGCCACCGCCAUCGAAAGGACCAUCAACACAUUUACUAAUGUCCAAUGGUCACAGCACGCAACUGGCCAACGGUCAAUACAAUCAUGUGGCGCAUCACCAGAACCAACACGGUGAGACGCGACCGAGUGUGAUUGAAUCGAAUCAGGCACCAAUUAUCAUCGGUUGCAUAUAAGAAAAUACAUUUCGAGUAAAUUUGUGUUUUUUUUUAUUAAAUUGAAAAUUUGAAUAUUUUUAACACACAUUUUUAACAGCAAACAAAAAAGAGAAUUUGUGACUGAUAUCCUUUUCGACUUUAAUUUUUUUUUAUUGAGAAAAAAAAGAGAACAAGAAAAGAGAGAGAAAAAAAAGAAGAAAUAUUUUACGUGGCUUUAUAUUGAGUAUAUAAGAAAAUCGAAGACUUUUUCUAUGAUAAAAUUAGAGUAAAAAUUGAGGAUUGCUUCAGUGAAUUUUUUAAAAAAAUGAUUGAAAGAGUUUCGUCAUAGUUUUGUUUGUUUGUUUUUCUCGUGUUUUUUUUGAUUGUAAUGGACAAAUGUGGAACUCUUGAAUGAUCUCGUUAAAUAAUAAAUACAUUCAAUGUAACAAACUAACAAAACUGAUUAAUGUGUUACACACAGACAAUAUAAUAUAACAGAAUUGCAUACAUAAAUUCUGGUCGUACAGAGGACGUCGGUGAAAUUUAGACAUGAAUUCGCUUCAGCUAGUUAUCAGCGGUUUACCGGUAUGUGUACCUAUUUCACUCAUUUGAACAAGCAUAGGCACGAACGGACCAGUAGAAAAACAGCUGAAAAAAAUUAAUGUCUAAAUUUCACUGACGUCCCCUGUAACAAAAUUUGGACGUUGAUUGAAUAAUACUUUAAUUUGUUAUAAACUUCAGCUCACAAACUAAAUUAAAAUCAUCAGCGAUAGACCAGACCCAAUUUAUCACAUUCAAAUUGAUAUUAUGAUGAUGAACGAAGAAGAUCUUGUAAAAAAUAGAGAUUAUCAAAAAGCGAUACAAUCGAUCGAAUAUAGCUGUUGUCGACAUACAAACAUUGCAGGCAUAUACAAUCAAGUUCCCGUAACAAACAUUUAUAUGUCGCCAACAGCAAUGUUUUCGUCAGUAAAAUCGGUAAGUCAUUUAAAUGAAAUUGUAAAACCUAAAUGUUCCUUCAUCAAAAAUUAAUGAAGAACCGAUUGAAGUUGUCUCUAUGAUCCCGGAAUGCGUCAUUAAUUCGAACAAAAAAUUGCAAUUUAAUUAACCUUAGACUAACAUUACAGAAAUAUCAAUUUAACAUACAGUGUGUCCUUAUUUACAUCCUUAAUUAAACAUUUUCAGUCAUUUUCAUAGUAAUGAAAGUUUUCACUAUAUACUGAUCCGAUUUACCUGUGUUAUUCAUUAAAAAAAAAUUGAAAUUUGUUAAACAAAAUAUAUUACGAUCCGUUGAAGUCAUACCGGUUGAGCUUAUAUUUAUAGAUCAUUGUCACACUGUCAAACUGAAUUUUUUUGCAGUUGACUUCUUCGAAUAAUUUCUCGGUUAUCCGAAUGAGUUUGGCUUGAUUAUGUAUUCAAACCUCCUUCUCCCCCAAUAACCCAAUUUAAUCAUUGAGAUCAACAUCACACAUCCCGAAUUGUGGCUGUUAAUUGCAGAAAUUUGAUUGAAAAAGAACAAUUUUUGUUAAAUCUUUUCGAAAGGCAUCUAAAUUGGUAGUAUUAUUUUUGUAAAUAUGUAACGAUGAUUGUUCGUUUUUAAUAGUUAAGCCUUUAGAUAAUAACAUAAAAUUUUAGAGUUUAAGAAUUAUACUUUAAUGAACAAAAUAAAAGAAAAUUUGAUAUUAAGAUAGAAACCAAAUACUUCAUUAAAAAUCAUGUGAAUAUACCAAAAAAAGGAAGAGAUAAAAAAAAAUGAAAAUUGAAAAAUAACGAAAAGAACAAACAAAGCAAAUUUAUUAUUACAAAUAUAUUUAACAAUAAUUCAACAUAUUUAUUACAACGUAGAUUUACAGAUAUAUAAAUUGUGUCUAUUUUGGUCUUAUGAUACCCACCAUAAUAUCGUUUUACCGAUGAAACCGAUAGCGUUCAACAAUUUUUACACUUGCUGAUGGAUUUUAUGUCAAGAGCGAAAGAACAUUUAUUAUACAUUGUCUAUGUUGUCCAAAUUCCAGACAACAUAUUCCGAAAUUAACGCACAAUAAUUCUAAAUUUUCAUUUUGAUCCAUAAAAAAACUCCGGUAAAUACACCAAAUAUUUUACAUGCUUCUUGUGUUCUUCCUAGUACCGAAAAAAGCUUAUUACAUCACAACAGAUCACAGGGGCUCAUAGAACUCGCAGCAUAUAAAAUUCAUUAUGUAACACAGUGUAGAAAGUUGAAAAGAUCAAUUUUCUUGUGAUCAUUGACCUCGGCUUCGCCUCGGAUCGACAAAUUUCACACGAAAACUAAACUUUUCAUCAUUUUCCUUCCAAAUGUAAAUGACCGUUUAUCAUCAGAUAUUCUUCCGCUCGAUUAACUAGCAUCAGGACACUCUGUAGUUUAAAAUGAUGUCAGAAGAGAAUCAGGCUUAAAGUUCUUUCAUUUCAAAUCUGGAUUCUCUCUUAAAAGAAGUAACAAAAAGUAAUAAAUCGCAUGCAAGAGAAACGUGGACGCUAUCGAAGAACCGAUAAAGAAUUCAUUGAAGAAAAAACGUCCACUUAAACAUGAGAUAUUAAAAUCAAGGAAAGUCUCGAGAUAAGAUUUUAUUGUGCAAUGAUUGUUUUUGCUGUAAAAGAUACACGCGAGUUACGUUUAUGUCGUAAAUUUCAUCUUUGAGUGCACGUUAUUUUCAAGACGAAUUCUUUAAACGAAAAAAAGAGAACAAAAAAAAACCUUUGAGUCGAAGACAAUUUUGAAAAUAAUUUUUUUUAUUGUAAAUAAAUGAUAAACUUUGCUCAGUUUAUGGGCCAACAUUCAAACCACAUUUUUACAAUUUCUAUAUUAAAACGAAAGAGAAAUUAACUUAGCUCGUGUACCUAUUUACCUAUUUUAACAUUAAAAGAAAAAUGGAUAAAAAACUAUUUGAAAAAUACAAUUUUUUUCAAACAAAAAAUGCUUACAAAAUAACAAAAUUUAACUUAUUUUCGCCCCGGAUUUAAAUAAUUUAUUGAUUUCGAAAUAUUUAAUUUAAACAAAAAACAAAAAUUUAAAUCACAGCAAGCAACAGUAUCCUUAUUAAGAUCCCUGUAAAGAAAUUAAAAUUGUAUAAAAGGCUAUUCACAUUUAUAAUUAGAGAAAUUUGUAAAUUUAUAUAUUUAUAUUUAAGCAUUAAAUACAAACAAGAAAAGGAAACUCAAAAAACAUUUGUUUUUUUUUUUUUUUAAAUAAUAUAAAAUUGCUUUGAAUUUGAAACAAAAAAUAUUUCAAUUUAAAAACAAAAUAUUUAAAAAAAAAUGAAAAUUGUACAUUAUAUCUUAAGAGGAGAAUUAAUACCAAGCUGAAGAUCGGUGCUUAAAUGACCUGUUUAUUAAAAAUACAAAUAAACAAAAUAAUUAAGGAUACAAUCACACUCAACACACACACACCCAUACACACUAUAUAACGUAUAUAAAUUAACUAUUUUACUGUAUAGUGGCCAAAAUU